rnacentral:rRNA from 1 species
ACUCAAAUGAAUUGACGGGGACUUGCACAAGCAGAGGAUUAUGUGGUUUAAUUCGAUGAUAAACGAAGAAUCUUACCAAGGUUUGAAACCUAGCUGAACCCAAGCAGAAACGUUUGGGGUCCCACAAGGACAGUUAGGCAGGUGAUGCAUGGCCGUCGUCAGUUCGUGAUUUGAAUUGUUCCCUUAAGUGGGGUAACGAACGCAACCCUCGUUGUCUGUUAUACGUAUCAGGCGAGACUGCCCAGCUUUCAGUGUUCGAAUUUAUUUUAAAUUCGAGUUUUGAAAGCUGGGAGGAAGGCGAGGAUGACGCCAGGUCAGCAUGUCCCUUUGAUACCUUGGGCUACACACAUAAUACAAUGGCGACUACAACGCGUUGCGACGGGGAAACCCUGAGCCAAUCGUAAUAAAAGUCGCCCCAGUUCAGAUUGGGGGCUGAAACUCGACCCCAUGAAGUUGGAUUUGCUAGUAAUCGCGGGUCAGACAUACCGCGGUGAAUACGUUCUCAAGUCUUGUACACACCGCCCGU